rnacentral:rRNA from 1 species
GACAGAGGAUGCAAGCGUUAUCCGGAAUGAUUGGGCGUAAAGCGUCUGUAGGUGGCUUUAAGUCCGCCGUCAAAUCCCAGGGCUCAACCCUGGACAGGCGGUGGAAACUACCAAGCUGGAGUACGGUAGGGGCAGAGGGAAUUCCGGUGGAGCGGUGAAAUGCGCAGAUAUCAGGAGGAACACCGGUGGCGAAGGCGGGUCUCUGGGCCGUAACUGACGCUGGAGGAGCGAAAGCAUGGGUAGCGAACAGG